rnacentral:rRNA from 1 species
UACAGAGGUCCCAAGCGUUGUUCGGAUUCACUGGGCGUAAAGGGUGCGUAGGCGGUCGGGUAAGUCUGAUGUGAAAUCUCACAGCUUAACUGUGAAACUGCAUUGGAUACUAUUCGGCUUGAGAGUUGGAGGGGGGACUGGAAUUCUCGGUGUAGCAGUGAAAUGCGUAGAUAUCGAGAGGAACACCUGAGGUGAAGACGGGUUGCUGGGCCGACACUGACGCUGAUAGCGCGAAAGCCAGGGGAGCAAACGGG